rnacentral:rRNA from 1 species
UGCGUAGGCGGCCUGACAAGUCAGAGGUGAAAGGCUACGGCUUAACCGUAGUAAGCCUUUGAAACUGACAGGCUUGAGUGCAGGAGAGGAAAGUGGAAUUCCUAGUGUAGCGGUGAAAUGCGUAGAUAUUAGGAGGAACACCAGUGGCGAAGGCGACUUUCUGGACUGUAACUGACGCUGAGGCACGAAAGCGUGGGGAGCGAACAGGAUUAGAUACCUGGUAGUCC